ACCCUCGCAAGAUGGCACCUGGAGAGCUUCUAGUCCUCCACCAGCCUCAGCCACGGGAGGAAGAGUCAGGCAGAGGCCGACCCAUUCCAUUCCUAGCUUGGGCAGUGGCUAGCGAGUGGAAGGCCAUCUGCUAUAAGC